GCAAUAGAAUAUGUUUUUAUGGCCAGGUGCAGUGGCUCACACCUGUAAUCCCAGCACUUUGGGAGGCUGAGGGGGGGUGAAUCACAAGAUCAGGUGUUCCAGAACUACCUGGCCAAUAUAGUGAAAUCCUGUCUCAUU